ensembl:snoRNA LOC120102730 small nucleolar RNA SNORA17
ACUGCUGUGUCACAUGCGUGUCGUCAGUAGGUGGCAGAGAGGAGAGGCUAUAUCUAUGCUCAGUGUUCUGACUUAUGAACAUCCGAAUGUCUGAAAAAAAUCAAA